UUAAAGAACUUCUCCAAACUCAUGCAGGUGCUGGGUGAGGAAGCAGGGGUUUGUCUAUUUCCAGAGACUUCGUUUGGCCGCUAAGUUAUUAUUUGGGGCUAAAUUAUGUCCCUCACAGCCCUCCAGUUCAGAUGUCAAAGUCCUAAUCCCCAGUGUCUCAGCAAGUGACAAUAGAGGAUUGUUCUUUAAGGAAGCCACGAGUUGAAGUGGGCUCUCUAGGGUGGGUCUUAAUCUGAAGAGGGGCCCUUAUCCAAAGAGUAAGUCUGGGUAGACACACGUCCGCACAGAGGAAAGAACACAGCAGGACACAGCAGAGGGGGGACAGCCCUGGGGAGAAGCCUCGGAAGGAACCGAACCUGCCCCAGCUUGAUCGUGGAGCCCAGCUUCCUGAACUGUGCGGCUGGAACCACCUGUGUGGGGCACCUGUCACGGCACCUGUCACCGCAGCCCAGCCAACCAGCUGUGUUGCCUCUCGUGGCACCCGGACUUCUUUAGCACGACACAGUCUCCCCAGAGGGUGGAGCUGCCUUCUCCUGGUCCCCUGGCUCCUGCAGCUGACAGCCAGGUGUCCAGGCGUGCUGAGGGGUGGCCCUGGGUCCCAGGCUUCUCGUUGUUCCAAGACUUUCCAUGGGGUUCCCGCCGCGGCUUGCUUUGUCACCUGAAGGCUUCCAGCCACCCUCUCAAUUCCAACUCGGGUGUCACAUCUCCUCUGACGCUCACCCGACCCUCUGUUUGGACGUCCAUUUAGUUGAGUCCCUCCCCACUGCCCCCGCACCGGCACCUUGUGGGGGAAUCUGUUCCAACCGUGGUCCCGCACCGUUUCGUCACAGGGUCCUCAACGCCCACCUAGGGAGGACAGAGGCCAUGCUGGCAUGGCCCUUCCAUCCAGAGGCCGUGCCUGCGGGAGGCUCAGCAGUGCUCACCACGGCGGGGGUCAGCUCCAGAGAAGGCCACCAACCUGCUGGAGAAGCUGAGGCCGGAGGACUGAUUGAUCUGCUGCGAUGUUUACGAACUCCCCAAGUCCUGAGGCUCAUCAUUUCGGUAAGAAGCAUCUCCCCUACAGAACACCGUGAGGAGGCGUCGUCUUUAUUCCCAGGUUAAGGAAAAUUAAAUACGUGGAAUCUCCUCGUCAAUAUUUUUAGUGUGGAGGUGGAGUAAAUCUGUCACCAAUGGUAGCAACCUCCGUGGAAAUACCAAGGACCGACUGUUCCAGCUGAAUGAAGGCGUAGACGUUCCUCCUCAUGGGGAGGCCUGGGAGAAAGAGGCCACACUGGGGCUUCAGCAAAGGUCACCACUGACUGGCCAAUGGGAAUAGCCCGUAGCAGAGUGGGCCGGCCAGGCAUGCAGCUUGGAUUGUCCCCUGGAGAGUUCUGUGGCCCCGGAUGCUGGCUUUCGUGCUCUUACUGCGUGGGGCACUGAGGCGAAGCUCAGCUGUGGACAGCUCGACUGGACAGUUCUUCCCUCCUUCUCACUGCUUCAGGAGGUCCCACUCACAGUCUACGCCACGUGGUUUUGGUUCCAGCUUGCUGUACCCGUGGAGGGUGGCGGAAGGGACCAUUCAUAAAUCCCAUCCUGAUCUCGAUUACUCAUGCUCAAGGUGCAGCAGGUGAGCUGCUGGCGCCGCUGGACUGAAGCGUGGAGUUAUUAAAGAGGAGCAGGAGCUGCACGUUCAAGGCCCCGUCGAGAGGAACACGUGUGCACAGGGCACGACUCCGGCAAAUGUGGAUUCCAAAUUGCUCAUGCCCCUACUCGGGCUGUGCAAACAGACUUGACAACAAUCACGGCGUGCAUCUAGCCUCAAGCAGAGCGCGUGAAGCAUCACGGGGUUGGCAUGAUUAUGCAAAUGCUGUUUGGCAGAACCAGGGAGACUCUGCCCCUUGAAUUUGUUGGAUUCACCUGCUGCCUGAUCUACAAGCACCUUAGGACACAAAGGCAGAACAUUGUGCCUGUUACAGAAAAGAAGCUGUAGUCCUCCAGUUACAUGUUUUCUUCUUAAGAUGAUCUUUAUUAUGUCAUUCAUACCCACAAAUACAUAUUGUACCUGUUCUCUAUGAAAGAACGAUGUAUCCAAGGUUUGAGACCUGAGUUGAAAUCCUGCGUCUGACCUGAGCAUACAGGCCCAGGAACUCAGGUCACGCUUAGUGGUCCAGAUUUCUUCAUAUAUAAAGUGGAGGCAAAUAUUGAUAGUGGGUUGUGUCCGCUGAAAACUAAAAAGUAAAUAUUAAAAUUCUCUCUCUCUCUCUCUCUCUCUUUAAAAAAAUAAAAAAUAAAUGAGGUAUUAUGUUCACAAACACCUGACUGUCUAUACUCAAGUACCUAAUGUAGAGCAGUUGUUGAACAAAAAGUGAAUUUUUCUUCCUGUCACUCAAUUGUUUCCUCACAAGUAAACUAUGGGCAGGCUCUGCAUCUUUUAUCUAAUAGUAAAGCUUCCAUUAGUAUUCUGGAACUGUCUUCAACUGAGAGGAAGGUAAGGCUAUUUGGGGAUUCUCUCUGAUUCUGUAGGAGAUGGUUACAUUCCUCAUAUUUUAGGAGGUAUUAAUAUCUGAAUAUAUUUAUACUUUGUAAAUGUAAAUUAUAAGGUAUUUUUUUGUUUUAUACAUGUUUAUAAACUUGGAGAGAAAGUUGAAUUGAACCUAUUCAUCUGCAUACAAUGCAAAUACUGGGUUGUCCGUUAUAGAAAAGUGUUUGAUUAUCAUAUUGAAAUAGC